rnacentral:tRNA from 1 species
CAUUGAGAAGCUAAACAGCAUUAACCUUUUAAGUUAAAGAUUGAGGACCAAAAUUCCUCCUCAAUGA